rnacentral:lncRNA from 1 species
CCAAGUAUGCAUAGAAUAAAUAAUUGUCAAGGCAAAGAUCUUAAUAAAUCUGGAAUACCAGAAAGGCUCAGUGAAGUAUACCUCAUCAUAGUUGAUGCUUCAUGACAGAACCUGCACAACCAAAUCACCGCAAGUAAAAUGCACAAUUGACAAAUAUGCAUUUUCUCUGCUACCCAAAUGAAAUCUGAAACAAAAAGUGACAAAUUAACAAUAGGAAAGACCACAUGCCUUGAAAAUUGAAAGAUAUUUACGAAAAACCAAAAACCCAUAUGAUAAUUUAUACCAACAAAAUAAAAAUAAAAAUAAAAUAAAAACAGAGACAUGAAAAAGAGAACUGAAAUCUAACUAAUUGAGACAGAGGACAGAGAGACAGAGUGGGUGAGAUCGUGAGAGAGACGGAGAGGGUGAGAUCGGGAGAGAGACGGAGAGGGUGAGAUCGUGAGAGAGAGACAGAGACGGUCAGAGGCAAACGAAGAUGGAUGAGAUGAGAGAGAGACGCAGAGGGAGAGACGCAGACUUAGUGAGAGAGGGGGAUGAGAGAGAGACGCAUAGGGAGAGUGAGUGUUGGAGGCGGCUGCUAGGUUUCUGAAAUUGCCCAUUUUUCACUUUUGCUGGUGAAGAAGGGGGAAAUUUGAGUUUUGGCUAGAGUUAUUUGGCGG